rnacentral:lncRNA from 10 species
GCUAGCAACCAUAAAGAUGAAUUCCUGACCUGGAGAGGCUGCUACUCAAAAACAGACCCACAAGCAAAAGCAUUAAUGAAUGCAGGCCCACCUAUCAAUUCAAAUGCUCUGCAUCUUGGGAAGUCAUAUUUCUCAGGAGGGUAGGUUUGGGUAGGCUAGCAAACAGCCACCUCCUCCGAAAGUGCUGGUCUUCAGGAAGGUUGUAGACAGCCUGUUCUUAGAGGUUGCACCUCUUUUCCAGGUCAGAGUUGCUGCCUUCUGUUUGAAUAAGGCUGUUGGGAACGGCACCACAGAUUUUCAAAUGUCUCCAGGAAGCUCCUCGCAGCUCGUAGCCCUGCUGUUAGGCCAUGUUGACAGCAUGGGCCAGGCCUUUGGGAUUCUGGCCAGUGAUGCUGGCUAGGGAGGAAGGGGGAUAGGCCUGAGUCUGUUUGCCUCUUGAUCCGUGUGGGUCAUUGUCACUAAGGGAUACCUAAAAUUGAGCCUGAGCAGCCAAGCAUGAAGAGAAGAAUGGACCCCAUGUUUGACCUGCUCUUGGACGCUUGAUAGGAAGGAGAGUAUGGCCAUCCAUCAGUGCCCUGGGCCGGCCCAUUCCUUGGACCAAAUCCUACCAGCAAGCAGAAGAAUGGCAGCUGCUACCCAGCUCACCCCACAGGCAGGGCCUGUGUCAUGGAGCUCAAGAACCAGGAGUUCUCAGUAACACAAUGGAAAUGAUGGUACCCAGCUCACCGGCUCUGAUUCUCUCUUAAUUUCCAAUACAACCAGAAUCUGGGGAUGGGAAAGGAGGAAACAGAAGAGGAAGGGCUAAGGAUGAAGCUAAGGAAAUAGGAUUUCCCCUUUCCCUAGGGAUGCCAUCAACUGUGUCUCCAGGAGAUUUAAAGGGCAGGGAACAUCACACACCGGGGCUUGUUGUGGGGUGGGG